rnacentral:rRNA from 1 species
UACGGGGGGGAGCAAGCGUUGUUCGGAUUUACUGGGCGUAAAGGGCGCGUAGGCGGUCAGCACAAGUCAGUUGUGAAAUCUCCGAGCUUAACUCGGAAAGGUCAACUGAUACUGUGCGACUAGAGUGCAGAAGGGGCAACUGGAAUUCUCGGUGUAGCGGUGAAAUGCGUAGAUAUCGAGAGGAACACCUGCGGCGAAGGCGGGUUGCUGGGCUGACACUGACGCUGGAGGCGCGAAAGCUAGGGGAGCGAACGGGG